CUACGGGCUGCUGCAGUGGGGAAUAUUGGGCAAUGGGCGCAAGCCUGACCCAGCAACGCCGCGUGAGGGAAGAAGGUUUUCGGAUUGUAAACCUCUGUCCUUGGGGACGAAGAAGUGACGGUACCCAAGGAGGAAGCUCCGGCUAACUACGUGCCAGCAGCCGCGGUAAUACGUAGGGAGCAAGCGUUGUCCGGAAUUACUGGGCGUAAAGGGUGCGUAGGCGGUAUAUUAAGUCAGGUGUGAAAUACUCGGGCUCAACCCGGGGGCUGCAUUUGAAACUGAUAUGCUUGAGUGUGAGAGAGGAAAGUGGAAUUCCUAGUGUAGCGGUGGAAUGCGUAGAUAUUAGGAGGAACACCAGUGGCGAAGGCGACUUUCUGGCUCAUAACUGACGCUGAGGCACGAAAGCGUGGGGAGCAAACAGGAUUAGAUACCCGCGUAGUC
rnacentral:rRNA from 1 species